AUUGAACGCUGGCGGCAGGCCUAACACAUGCAAGUCGAGCGGAUGAAGGGAGCUUGCUCCUGGAUUCAGCGGCGGACGGGUGAGUAAUGCCUAGGAAUCUGCCUGGUAGUGGGGGAUAACGUCCGGAAACGGGCGCUAAUACCGCAUACGUCCUGAGGGAGAAAGUGGGGGCUCUUCGGACCUCACGCUAUCAGAUGAGCCUAGGUCGGAUUAGCUAGUUGGUGGGGUAAAGGCCUACCAAGGCGACGAUCCGUAACUGGUCUGAGAGGAUGAUCAGUCACACUGGAACUGAGACACGGUCCAGACUCCUACGGGAGGCAGCAGUGGGGAAUAUUGGACAAUGGGCGAAAGCCUGAUCCAGCCAUGCCGCGUGUGUGAAGAAGGUCUUCGGAUUGUAAAGCACUUUAAGUUGGGAGGAAGGGCAGUAAGUUAAUACCUUGCUGUUUUGACGUUACCAACAGAAUAAGCACCGGCUAACUUCGUG
rnacentral:rRNA from 1 species